GAUGAACGCUAGCGGCAGGGCCUAACACAUGCAAGUCGACGGGGCAGCACGGAUUGCUUGCAAUCUGGUGGCGACCGGCGCACGGGUGCGUAACGCGUAUACAACCUACCUUUUGGAGGGGAAUAGCCCAGAGAAAUUUGGAUUAAUACCCCAUAGUAUAUAGGAAUCUCCUGAUUUUUAUAUUAAACAUUUAUGGCUAUUAGAUGGGUAUGCGUCCUAUUAGUUAGUUGGUAAGGUAACGGCUUACCAAGGCAGCGAUAGGUAGGGGUCCUGAGAGGGAGAUCCCCACACUGGUACUGAGACACGGACCAGACUCCUACGGGAGGCAGCAGUGAGGAAUAUUGGACAAUGGGCGAGAGCCUGAUCCAGCCAUGCCGCGUGCAGGAAGACUCGCCCUAGUGGGUUAGUAAACUGUCUUUUACGGAGGAAGAACCCACCCCCACGUGUGGGGGUUUGACGGUACUCUGCGAAUAAGGAUCGGCUAACUCCGUG
rnacentral:rRNA from 1 species